GGGUAUAUAGCUCAGUGAUGGGGUGCCUGCCUGGCAUGCAGGAGGCUGGGGAUUCUAUUCCCA
rnacentral:tRNA from 1 species